rnacentral:tRNA from 1 species
GCCGAGGUAGCCAAGCUCGGAAUAAGGCGCUAGACUCGAGAUCUAGUGUGCUUUGCACCCGUGGGUUCAAAUCCCACCCUCGGCG